rnacentral:lncRNA from 1 species
UUUUUUUCUUAGGUAUAAUUAACCUCAAUUUACUCAAUUUUCUUUGUAAUAUAUAUACUAGUAGUAACAUGGAUAUCGUUUUUGGGGACCUUUAUAGUUUGUUGUUCAGUGUGAGCCAAUGCUCCGUGUUGAAGACCGUACUUCGGUCUAUGAUGGUUUACUUUUACGAAUAGUGACUUAGAUGGAGAGUUUUCUUAUUGGCACUCAUACCACAUCUUCUUAUAUUAUUCUGCUCAUUAUUAGUCAUUGAUAUGAUCUAAUUAUUCAAGCAUUUUACUUUGCAAUGACUACAAAGGUGAUAAAUUUUAAUAUAUACAGCCUCCUCCAUUAAUAACUACUGUUUCCUUUGAAUCUUAAAUAAGAAAUAAGA